rnacentral:rRNA from 1 species
CAGCCGCCACGGUAAUACAGAGGGUGCGAGCGUUAAUCGGAUUUACUGGGCUUAAAGCGUGCGUAGGCGGCUUCUUAAGUCGGAUGUGAAAUCCCUGAGCUUAACUUAGGAAUUGCAUUCGAUACUGGGAAGCUAGAGUAUGGGAGAGGAUGGUAGAAUUCCAGGUGUAGCGGUGAAAUGCGUAGAGAUCUGGAGGAAUACCGAUGGCGAAGGCAGCCAUCUGGCCUAAUACUGACGCUGAGGUACGAAAGCAUGGGGAGCAAACAGGAUUAGAUACCCCGGUAGUCCCUGUCUCUUAUAC